AUGCAAAGAACUUUGAAAAGAGAGUUAAAGAGUACCUGAAAUUGUUGAAAGGGAAGCGAAGGAAACGAGUGAAAUAACCAGGUGUGUGUGCCGGUCUGCUUAGCGGAUUCAGUAUUGCAUCUGGGUAAUGGUCAGUGUUGGCAUGGCUGGAGUGAGUGGUUGAUUGGGCAAUGUUUUUGCUUUUGCUUAGAUAUCCUGGUCUGCGUGCUCUGGCUGUGUCAAGGUGUCUCACAAGCUGCUCGUGAUGCUGACGAAAUCGUUUUCUUUUCCCCGUCUUGAAACACGGACCAAGGAGUCAAACAUGUGCGCGAGUAUUAGAGUGGAUAACUCUGAUGCGUAAUGAAAGUAACAGUGGUUGGACCUUUGGGCACAAUCCGCCGGCAUUGUCUCUUCGGAGAUGAGGUCUGAGUGUGAGCGUAUAUGUUUGGACCCGAAAGGUGGCGACCUAUGCCUGGGUAGGGUGAAGCCAGGGGAAACUCUGGUGGAGGCUCGUAGCGAUUCUGACGUGCAAAUCGAUCGUCAAAUCUGGGUAUAGGGGCGAAAGACUAAUCGAGCCAUCUAGUAGCUGGUUCCCUCCGAAAUUUCCCUC
rnacentral:rRNA from 1 species